GAUGAAGAACGCAGCGAAAUGCGAUACUUGGUGUGAAUUGCAGAAUCCCGUGAACCAUCGAGUCUUUGAACGCAAGUUGCGCCCGAAGCCAUUAGGCCGAGGGCACGCCUGCCUGGGCGUCACACGUCGUUGCCCCCCCAUCUACUCCUUCGGGAUUGCGGGGGGCGGAUGAUGGCCUCCCGUGCGCCUCGCCGCGCGGUUGGCAUAAAUGCCAAGUCCUCGGCGACGCACGCCACGACAAUCGGUGGUUGCGAAACCUCGGUUGCCCGUCGUGUGCGGUCGUCGCGCAUCGAGGGCUCGAAAAAAAUGCCGGGUUCCGGCUCGGCUUUCAACGCGACCCCAGGUCAGGCGGGGUUACCCGCUGAAUUUAAGCAUAUCAAUAAGCGGAGGA
rnacentral:misc_RNA from 1 species